rnacentral:rRNA from 1 species
UACAGAGGUCUCAAGCGUUGUUCGGAUUCAUUGGGCGUAAAGCGUGCGCAGGCGGUUUUGUAAGCCAGAUGUGAAAGCCCCGGGCUUAACCUGGGAAUGGCAUUUGGGACUGCAAGGCUGGAGUGUGGCAGAGGAGACUGGAAUUCCUGGUGUAGCGGUGAAAUGCGCAGAUAUCAGGAGGAACACCAGUGGCGAAGGCGGAGACCUGGGCCGAUACUGACGCUGAGGUGCGAAAGCGUGGGGAGCAAACAGGAUAGAU